UGCCAGUAGUCAUAUGCUUGUCUCAAAGAUUAAGCCAUGCAUGUGCAAGUACGAGCGCGUACACAGUGAAACUGCGAAUGGCUCAUUAAAUCAGUCGUGGUUCCUUAGAUCGUUGCAGUAGUACAUGGAUAACUGUGGCAAUUCUAGAGCUAAUACAUGCAGACAAGCCCCGAUCCCUUCGCCGGGAGAAGGGCGCAGUUAUUAGACCAAAAGACCUUCGUGCUUGGCGGGCACUCCGGUGUUGCGCGGGCACUAGUACCUUGAGUGGUGACUCUGGAUAACCUUGGGCGGAUCGCACGGCUUCGGGCUGGCGACGUAUCUUUCAAAUGUCUGACCCAUCAAAUGUCGAAGGGAGGUGCCAUGCCUCCCUUGUUCGCAACGGGUGACGGGGAAUCAGGGUUCGAUUCCGGAGAGGGAGCAUGAGAAACGGCUACCACAUCCAAGGAAGGCAGCAGGCGCGCAAAUUACCCACUCCUGACACGGGGAGGUAGUGACGAAAAAUAACGGUGCGGGACUCCAUCGAGGCUCCACGCUUGAAUGAGUACACUUUAAAACCUUAGACGAGGAACAAUUGGAGGGCAAGUCUGGUGCCAGCAGCCGCGGUAAUUCCAGCUCCAAUAGCGUAUAUUAAAGUUGUUGCAGUUAAAAAGCUCGUAGUUGGAUCUCGGCGGUGCCGGCGGCGGGGCCGCGGAGCCUUAGCACGUGGUACCCCGCGUCGGCGCCCCUUUGGGCGGGGGGGCCCCGACCUAGGGGCCCUGUCCGAUCCCCCGUGACGAUCCCCCUUCCCAUUCCCACACCCGUGGGGUGGGGGGGGGACCGGGGGUGUCUAUCGGCAGUUGCUGGUGCCCUUAACUGGGCUGCCAGUGGCACCCGUCCGUUUUACUUUGAAAAAAUUAGAGUGUUCAAGGCAGGCCAAAGCGCCCAGAUAAUGUUGCAUGGAAUAAUGGAAGAGGGCCUCGGUCCUAUUCUGCUGGUUCUUCGGGACGGCGAGGUAAUGAUCAAGGGGGACAGACGGGGGCACUCGUACUGCGGCGUGAGAGGUGAAAUUCUUGGACCGGCGCAUGACAAACUAGUGCGAAAGCAUUUGCCAAGAAUGUUUUCAUUAAUCAAGAACGAAAGUCAGAGGAUCGAAGACGAUCAGAUACCGUCCUAGUUCUGACCAUAAACGAUGCCAACUGGUGAUCCGCCAGUACAGUCGAGAAACUCUAUGUAAAGGACCUGGCGGGCAGCCCCCGGGAAACCUCAAGUCUUUGGGUUCCGGGGGAAGUAUGGUUGCAAAGCUGAAACUUAAAGGAAUUGACGGAAGGGCACCACCAGGAGUGGAGCCUGCGGCUCAAUUUGACUCAACACGGGGAAACUCACCCGGCCCGGACACCGUAAGGAUUGACAGAUUGAGAGCCCUUUCUUGAUUCGGUGGGUGGUGGUGCAUGGCCGUUCUUAGUUGGUGGAGCGAUCUGUCUGGUUAAUUCCGAUAACGAACGAGACUCCGGCCUGCUAACAUAGCGCUCCCAGACCGCCAUUGAGUAGGGAGUUCGCGGCAAUCAAUGUGACCGGCCCUCCGGGGCCGUAUUUGAGAGCUUCUUAGAGGGACUAACGGCGUUUUGUAGCCGUACGAAACGGGGCAAUAACAGGUCUGUGAUGCCCUUAGAUGUCCGGGGCCGCACGCGCGCUACACUAAUAGAGGCAGAGGGUCCGACCUGGGCUGAAAGGACCAACCAGGCACCCCGUACCAAUCUCUAUCGUGCUAGGGACUGGGGUUUGAAACUAUUCCCCACCAACGAGGAAUUCCCAGUAAGCGCGAGUCACCAGCUCGUGUUGAUUACGUCCCUGCCCUUUGUACACACCGCCCGUCGCUACUACCGAUCGGAUGGUUUAGUGAGCCCGUUGGACGGCUGCAGGGCCCGCCUUGUGCGGGACCUCUCCGGAAGACGGUCGAACUUGAUCAUUUAGAGGAAGUAAAAGUCGUAACAAGGUUUCCGAAGG
rnacentral:rRNA from 1 species